rnacentral:rRNA from 1 species
UGGGGAAUAUUGCACAAUGGGCGCAAGCCUGAUGCAGCCAUGCCGCGUGUAUGAAGAAGGCCUUCGGGUUGUAAAGUACUUUCAGCGAGGAGGAAGGCAUUAAGGUUAAUAACCUUGUGAUGACUGUAUCUCGCAGAAGAAGCACCGGCUAACUCCGUGCCAGCAGCCGCGGUAAUACGGAGGGUGCAAGCGUUAAUCGGAAUUACUGGGCGUAAAGCGCACGCAGGCGGUCUGUUAAGUCAGAUGUGAAAUCCCGCCAGGCUG